rnacentral:rRNA from 1 species
GAGAGAGUUCAAGAGAACGUGAAAUCGUUGAAGUGGAACCGGAGAGAGUUGACGUAGUAUGGUGGAUAAGUAUUGCAAGAAUCGCUUCAAACMAUGAAUGUGAUCGAGUAAUAUGUACGUCACCAAAGACUGCGCUGACAGCAUCGACUACACGCUCUGAACUGUGUUGACAUGUUGCCUAYUCUAGUAUAUAGAAUGGUGUCUUGUGUUACGUGGUGAAGUUUGUUGUUAUGUUGUUGAUGUUGAUAAGUAUGAUUAUACACCGAGUAUAAUUAUGUCAGUGUAAAAGUCAACCACCUCUCCGACCCGUCUUGAAACACGGACCGAGGAGUGUAACUUGUACGCGAGUCAUUGGGUGGAAAAACCUUAAGGCGAAACGAAAGUGAAGGCACGGUUAACCGGCUGACAUGGGAAACGUGCGGUAUUGUUAGCGAGACGUUACACCAUGGCCCUGUCUUGUCUGCAUGCAGAUGGGCAGCGGUAGAGCGUACAGGUUGCGACCCGAAAGAUGGUGAACUAUGCCUGAGCAGGACGAAGUCAGAGGAAACUCUGGUGGAAGUCCGUAUCGGUUCUGACGUGCAAAUCGAUCGAUAGACUUGGGUAUAGGGGCGAAA